rnacentral:rRNA from 1 species
UGCUUGUCUCAAAGAUUAAGCCAUGCAUGUCUAAGUAUAAGCAACUAUACUGUGAAACUGCGAAUGGCUCGAUGGGCCGUUCCAGACAAGAAGCAGAGCACGCUCUGUAACAUUGCUAUGAUGGGGAGAUAAUCCUCAGCCACCCUUAGGGGUCGGUCCAACGACUAGAUAGUGAUGGUCCCCCCCGGGGGAUUAAGAUAUAGUCUCAACUACAGGCGCGAGCCUGGAGAUCAAUUGCAUUAUAUCAGUUAUCGUUUAUUUGAUAGUACCUACCUACUUGGAUAACCGUGGUAAUUCUAGAGCUAAUACAUGCUAAAAGCCUCGACUUCGGAAGGGGUGUAUUUAUUAGAUAAAAAACCAAUGCCCUUCGGGGCUCCUUGGUGAUUCAUAAUAACUAAACGAAUCGCAUGGCCUUGUGCCGGCGAUGGUUCAUUCAAAUUUCUGCCCUAUCAACUUUCGAUGUUAGUGUAGUGGACUAACAUGGUUUCAACGGGUAACGGGGAAUUAGGGUUCUAUUCCGGAGAGGGAGCCUGAGAGACGGCUGGAUGGGCCGUUUACACAGCGGAGUAAUACUCUGUAACAUUGCUAUUAUGGGGAGAAAAUCCUCAGCCACCUCCUAACGGAGGGCGGUCCAACGACUAAAUAGUGAUGGUCCCCCCCGGGGAUUAAGAUAUAGUCUCAACUGGCGGCGCAAGCACCCAGACAUCUUGACCACAUCCAAGGAAGGCAGCAGGCGCGCAAAUUACCCAAUAGCGACACGCUGAGGUAGUGACAAUAAAUACUGAUACAGGGCUCUUUUGGGUCUUGUAAUUGGAAUGAGUACAGUUUAAAUCCCUUAACGAGGAACAAUUGGAGGGCAAGUCUGGUGCCAGCAGCCGCGGUAAUUCCAGCUCCAAUAGCGUAUAUUAAAGUUGUUGCAGUUAAAAAGCUCGUAGUUGAACCUUGGGCCUGGCUGGUCGGUCCGCCUCACCGCGUGCACUGAUCCGGCCGGGCCUUUCCUUCUGGGGAAUCGCAUGCCCUUCAUUGGGUGUGUUGAGGAUCCAGGACUUUUACUUUGAAAAAAUUAGAGUGUUCAAAGCAGGCCUAUGCUCGAAUACAUUAGCAUGGAAUAAUAGAAUAGGACGUGUGGUUCUAUUUUGUUGGUUUCUAGGACCGCCGUAAUGAUUAAUAGGGAUAGUCGGGGGUGUCAGUAUUCAAUUGUCAGAGGUGAAAUUCUUGGAUUUAUUGAAGACUAACUACUGCGAAAGCAUUCACCAAGGAUGUUUUCAUUAAUCAGUGAACGAAAGUUAGGGGAUCGAAGACGAUUUUUAAUAAAAUCUGGUCGUCUACAGAGCAAUCUAGUCUAUCAUUUGGUAGGCAACACCACUAGACUGAGGGGCCGCUUGCGUAGCAAGCUAACCCGCAGCCUGGCCUGUUCCCCCUGGAGCAGGCCCAGUUCACAGACUGAAUAGUGGUGGGCCACAGCACCUUCUAGGUGCUGGGGCUUCUAAUACAGCCGGUCCGGCAGCGAUAAGCUGCUGGAGCACACGCAGAUACCGUCGUAGUCUUAACCAUAAACUAUGCCGACUAGGGAUCGGGCGAUGUUAUUUUUUGACUCGCUCGGCACCUUACGAGAAAUCAAAGUCUUUGGGUUCUGGGGGGAGUAUGGUCGCAAGGCUGAACUUAAAGGAAUUGACGGAAG